ACAACACGUGUGGCGAUUGGUCCGUGCAUAACUGCAGAGCAGGAUGGGAGCGUCCCUGCAAAGGAAGGAGAAGACGCUCCAGAGCCCUAACCCGGCAAGUCAGUGGCUACUCAAUGUGGCAAAGUUUUUGCCUUCUAAGUCUUGGCCUAUGAACGAGAGACACCCUUUCGUCCUGGGUCCAUAUGUCAGUACUCUCUCUCUCUCUCUUUUUUAAAAGGGUUUGUUUAUUUGUACACAGUCUCCUGCCUGCAUGUAUUCGUUGUAAGCCAGAAUGGUGAAAGCUUGGGGUUGAACUGGAGACCUCUGGAAGAGCAGCCAGUACUCCUAACCUCCGAGCCAUCUCUCCAACCCCAGUAUUCUUAAAUAUAUGUCAAUAUAUGUGAAUAUUAUUAAAUAUAUGUGAGUAUAUUUGAGAUCUGGACAUUUGACGCCAUAUAAAAUUAGUUUAGACUCAGGGUCUCUUGUAUCUCCUGCUGGCUCCGGAACUCCUAAGCAGCUAAGGAAUGACCUUGAACUGCAGAACUUUCUGCCUCCACAAUGGGAGUUACAGAAAUGUUCCAUCACGCCUGUUUUUAUAUGGUGCGGUGGAUAAGCCGGCCAUUUGUGCACCAUAGCCACACACUGCCAACUGAGUUAGAUUCCCAGCUGUGAUGGCAUCUAAAAUUUAUGCUACAUAUGAAACUUCUGACAAGUGACUCCCACAAUUAUUUUGGGAACAGUACAUAUUAACCUGGAGACUACUAACCAUGUGGUAAAUGGCAAGAGAAGGGAAGAGGGUCUGACAAUAAUCUGAACCCUUUAUUGAAUGUCAUUGCAAUGGUUCUUUUCAUUUCAAAAUUUUGCUUAUGUAUCAUUACAUAUCUACUUAGUACCCUUCGGAUCCGGCCUAGAACAAAUGAGAACGUUGACACCAGUCUGUGAAAGGAAGAGUAACACUAAUGCCAUCAUAUCUUGAUUUGGAGGAAAUCAAUACGGAGAAACGUAACUCACCAAAAGGAGACUACUUGUUCGGGCUUCCCAAGAAUUUCUGCUAAUACUACCUCCCAUACCACUCCAGAAUAAGUUAGAACCUAUGGGAAAAACAGAAGCAUGAGGUAGCCAAUUACUUACUAUUAAAAUGAACAAUCUGAAUAGUUCAUCAUCAGCCUCAGAGAUUUCAUGUAGACUUCUAAGGCAGUGAACACUCUUGUAUUUUAGCAUCUAAGCAAGUCCUUAUACCAAAAUAAGAUGUGGUUGACUAUAAUAAUGAACAAGCAAUGAACAUGCUGGCAGAGGCACACUUGGCCCUCAGAAUGUACUUUAUAAUGGAUGGGAAUAAAUCACAUUACAGAAGUGGCCAAAAUUUCCAGACAUAGCUACUGUGUGAAGUACAUAGUACAUAAGAGUUGCACUACUCUUCCUUGUCCCACACCACUGAAUGGAAGAAUGGACCUACCACGAAGUCUGUCGUCAUUCUCAGAGAAAAAGAAAAAUCUAAUGGCCUCAUUCUCAGGAACCGCUUCUCUGAAAACACGAGGGAGAAAGGGCAGAAAUUACUUUCAAUAUUUAAGAAGAUUAUUACAGCUGGUGUGACAGUGUGUGCUUAUAAUUUGGAAAGCAGAGGCAGAAGGAUGAGGAAUUCCAGGCAGCCUUAGCUAUAUAAGGAGUUCAAGAGAAGUUUAGGCAAUAUAAGUCUGGUCUAAAACAAAAACAAGAAACCCAGGCAACAAGCAAAAUAAAAACAGGAAAAAUAAUAGUGAAAUUGUAAAAUGUUCCUUUUAAAAAGUUGCUCUGCACUUUGCUCAUGUUAUAAAAUGACCACACCCCAUCCUCCAUCUAAAGUUUUGAUAUUGAGGAAUUAAGUAUGUACUCUAGAUGUCAAUACUCAUUCCCACUGUUACCCUGUUUGCCAGUGUUCUCUAGCUGGCACCUAACUCAGCUAGAGCAUCUGAUUUCCAAACCAGGAGUGUUACCAUCAGCCUUACUGCUGGCACACACUUCACCUGCCACCAGUUGCCUGAAAAUCACUGUUAAAAAAAAAGGUUAAGAGCUGGAGAGAUGGCUCAGCGGUUAAGAGCACUGACUACUCUUCAAGAAGUCCUAGCAACCACAUGGUGGCUCACAACCAUCUGUAAUGGGAUCUGACACCCUCUUCUGGUGUGUCUGAGACAGCUAUCGUGAACUUAUAUACAUAAAAUAAAUAAAUCUUAAAAAAAAAAGAAUUCUGAACAGAAACUGAUAAAAUUUGUUCCAGAUACUUGCAUAAUGCUACUGAAGCAUGCCUGACUCUAACUUUAUAAACCACGACACAUGCUUACACAUAAACAGCUUACCCAGGGCUUGGCUUGCUAUGAUCUGCUUCUUCAGCAAUAUCUUCUUCUUCUGAACUACUGUCUUGGAAUCGGGGAUCAUUUGGACAGACUAUCUUCCCAUGUUUCACUAGUUCGAUUCUAUAGGUGGCUAUAUUAUUAUGACAAUAAAAGGUAAUGCAAUUAUGGCUGAGCAACCACGUAUUUAUGAACACAGUAAAAUUAUUACCUGUACUAUGUAAACAUGACUAAAUUUUAAUAUGUUAAAACCAGAUACCAUCACUUUUUUCCUCCAAUUUUGGAGUUCAAAUCCAAAUGAGAGGCAAAUACGCUACCACUGACCUGUGGAUGUACUUCCUAAAAUAAGUAACAUUAUCUUUUUCAACUUUUUUUUUUUUUUGAGACAGACUGUGUAGCCCUGGCUGUCCUGGAACUCACUCUAUAGACCAGGAUGGUCUCGAACACAGAAAUCCACCUGCCUCUGCCUCCUGAGUGCUGGGAUUAAAGGCAUGCGCCACCACACCCAGCUUAUCUUUUUCAAUUUUAAAAUACUAAAAGCUACUGUUUAGAGUCAUCACAUGAGGAAUAUAAAAUUAUAAAAAGAGCUAAAAGCUAAAGAUUUAUAGAUGAGUAGUAUAAUUUUCAAAGAACAGGUAACCACUGCCUAAGUGCUGUUAAAAGAAGUCUAUAGUGCCAGGCAUGGGGCAUACACCUUUAGUCUUAGCACUUGGGAGGCACAGUCAAGUGAAUCUCUGUGAGUUUGAGGCCAGAGUGGUCUACAUAAUGAGUUCCAGAACAACUAGUGCUAUGUAAAGACCCUGUCUCAAAAAAACAUUAAAAAAAUAAAUAAAUAAAAUUUAAAAAAAAAAGAAAAAAAAACAAAGCCGGGCGUGGUGGUUCAUGCCUUUAAUCCCAGCACUUGGAAGGCAGAGGCAGGCGGAUUUCUGAGUUCGAGGCCAGCCUAGUCUACAGAGCGAGUUCCAGGACAGCCAGGGCUACACAGAGAAACCCUGUCUCGAAAAACCAAAAAAAAGAGAGAGAGAAAAAAAGAGGCCUACAACUUAAGAUGCACUGAAACCUGAGUCUUUUCCUGCUUAUUCAUAUACAAGAAAAGGAACUCAUGUUUAUGUUUUUGUUUUCGACUCUCAAAACUGCUUUCUAGAACUGCAGUGAGAUUUGUCUGCAUGAUCACUCAUGAGUCUCCAAGUUUCCAGCUUCUUAAAAAAUAGACUGUAUCUAAGACUAAACAUAGGCCCACUUUACUUCUCACACUUGGCACUCACAGUUACAGUAUUUGAGUUCAUAUUCCAUUUAGUUGUCAGUCAAACUAAAUGCACAGAAAAACAUCAAGUAGAACACAGCAUACAUCUUAUUUAUGUUUUGGAAAAGCUACUAUAGUUUCUGUAGCUAUUUUAGGAGUAGCCCAGUGCUGAAAGUAGGCAUGUAUCUGUAAACACAUAGUGCUUUUAAAUUGUAUUAAAUCUGUACAUGUGCCAGUGAGUAUACAUGCGCUCAGAGCUAAAGAAUUGGAUCCCCUUGGAGAUGGAGUUACAGGAGGUCAUGAGCAACCUAAUGUGGGUGCUGGAACCAAACCUGGGUAGUCUGCAAGAAUAAAACAUGUUCCUAACUGCUGGGCUACCUCUAAGCCCCAUGCACUCUGUUUUAAAUGCGCAUCUUUAAAGCACAUCACUGAAGUUAGCAGUGUACAUCUGAUGCUAGAUAGAGUCAUCUUGCCUUUUAUAGGAAACUCCCACAAUGUUGGACAUACACCUUGAAUACAGGUAAGGAACAGUCUUCUAAACGAAGUCUUAAUCAGGUGUGGCACACAAGAG